rnacentral:rRNA from 1 species
CUACGGGCCGCUCCAGUCGAGAAUCUUCCGCAAUGCGCGAAAGCGUGACGGAGCAAUGCCGCGUGCAGGAUGAAUGCCUUAGGGUUGUAAACUGCUGUCACUGGGGACGAAUUUUGACGGUACCCAGAGAGGAAGCCACGGCUAACUACGUGCCAGCAGCCGCGGUAAUACGGAGGUGGCGAGCGUUGUUCGGAUUUAUUGGGCGUAAAGGGUCCGCAGGGGGUUUAUCAAGUCUGAUGUGAAAUCCCGGAGCUCAACUCCGGAACUGCAUUGGAAACUAGUAAACUAGAGUACUGGAGAGGUAAGCGGAAUUCCAGGUGUAGCGGUGGAAUACGUAGAUAUCUGGAAGAACACCAAAAGCGAAGGCAGCUUACUGGACAGUUACUGACCCUCAGGGACGAAAGCGUGGGGAGCAAACAGGAUUAGAUACCCGGGUAGUC